UCAAUAGAAACAGUUUGAGACUGACUCCUAAUCACUAGGUUGCAGGUUCAAGUCCUGUCUGGUGCGCCA
rnacentral:tRNA from 1 species